rnacentral:rRNA from 1 species
UACAUGUGGGGCAAGCGUUGUUCGGAAUUACUGGGCAUAAAGGGUGCGUAGGUGGUUUGUUAAGUCAGGGGUGAAAUCCCGCGGCCCAACCGUGGAACUGCCUUUGAUACUGGCGAACUUGAGUGCGUGAGGGGUAGGGGGAACGAGCAGUGUAGCGGUGAAAUGCGUAGAUAUCGGAAGGAACACCUGUGGCGAAAGCGGCUCACUGGACCAUAACUGACGCUGAGGCACGAAAGCUAGGGGAGCAAACAGG